ensembl:lncRNA
CUUUUUUCUAAAUACCUAGUAAUUCUUCUGCUCUAUUAUCCUAACGCUAAAAAUAACUUUAUCAUCCUUUCUGCACAAUUAAUGUGAACUUAAUCUAUAUCCCCUUAUUUUAUGGUGUAUUUGUAUGCAGGUAAACUACAGACCUCCAUCUGAAGGGAGAGGAGAUAGUUUAUUCAGUGAAAAUGUUUAUAAUGCAGAUCCUGGCAAACUACAUUAUCCAAAGGAUUUAAAAAUUCUUAAGCUUUAUAAAGAGCAUGCUAACAAGUCAUCUUGAGCUGAAUGCAGCUGUACCCUGGCUGAGAGAAUGUCUUCACUGUCAGCUUUCUCAGACUGUAUAGAGAAGCUCUCCAGCUGGAAUGAUUGUUCCUCUGUUCAUGUAUUGGAGAAGACACUUAGCAAUUGAUCCUUGCUGACACUUGUCAUGCUUUUGAGGAAGUUAUGGACAUGUGCCAUAUCCUAUCCCUGGCAGGAGCCAUAAAAGAGCCAACGUGUACAGAAAAUCAGGAAAACAGGCAGGGAAUGUGUACGGCCAGGAGUGUUACUAUUGAGGUGUGCCAAAAUAGCUUGGGUUGUUAUUUUUAGGUCACAAUAAAAGCAAAACUCUAUUUUUGCAUGUUGCCUAAUUAUCUUCACUUUUGGCUAGAGAAGUCAUGCAGUGUGAAGACAAUGUGCAUUUCCUGCCCUAAAUACCAGCCUCUGCUGCUGCAGAGCUCAUCCACAGAUUACAGAGCUGGGUGCCAGAUUUUCACCUCUGCUUGGUAGCUUCGUAUGCAAAAUGGAAAGUGCUAGUGCAGACUUGGACGAUGACUAAAGUAACCUUUCUCAUAGCAGGAUGUGUUCCUGAUCUGCCUGCUAUUUACAUUACCUACUUGCAUCUUAUAUCA